ACACUCCUGCGGGAGGCAGCAGUGGGGAAUUUUGGGCAAUGGGCGAAAGCCUGAUCCAGCAAUGCCGCGUGAGUGAAGAAGGCCUUCGGGUUGUAAAGCUCUUUUGUCAGGGAAGAAACGGUGAGAGCUAAUAUCUUUUGCUAAUGACGGUACCUGAAGAAUAAGCACCGGCUAACUACGUGCCAGCAGCCGCGGUAAUACGUAGGGUGCAAGCGUUAAUCGGAAUUACUGGGCGUAAAGCGUGCGCAGGCGGUUUUGUAAGUCUGAUGUGAAAUCCCCGGGCUCAACCUGGGAAUUGCAUUGGAGACUGCAAGGCUAGAAUCUGGCAGAGGGGGGUAGAAUUCCACGUGUAGCAGGGAAAUGCGUAUAUAUGUGGAGGAACACCGAUGGCGAAGGCAGCCCCCUGGGUCAAGAUUGACGCUCAUGCACGAAAGCGUGGGGGGCAAACAGGAUUAGAAACCCCUGUAGUCCCAUG
rnacentral:rRNA from 1 species